UACAGAGGUCUCAAGCGUUGUUCGGAUUCAUUGGGCGUAAAGGGUGCGUAGGCGGCGCGGUAAGUCGGGUGUGAAAUCUCGGGGCUUAACUCCGAAACUGCAUUCGAUACUGCCGUGCUUGAGGACUGGAGAGGAGACUGGAAUUUACGGUGUAGCGGUGAAAUGCGUAGAUAUCGUAAGGAAGACCAGUGGCGAAGGCGGAUCUCUGGACAGUUACUACACUGAGCACGAAGGCCAGGGGAGCAAAACGGGG
rnacentral:rRNA from 1 species